CCCCUGCAUCCAGUUGCCAUCGGGCGAGCCGGGCACUCUGGAGGGACUGCCGGCGACAAGCCGGAGGAAGUGGGGAUGACGUCAAGUCAUCAUGGCCCUUAUGUCCAGGGCGACACACGUGCUACAAUGGCCGGCACAGCGGGAAGCGGAGGGGCGACCCUGAGCGGAUCCCUUGAAAGCCGGUCCCAGUUCGGAUUGCAGUCUGCAACUCGACUGCAUGAAGUUGGAAUCGCUAGUAAUCGCGGAUCAGCCAAGCCGCGGUGAAUACGUUCCCGGGCCUU
rnacentral:rRNA from 1 species